rnacentral:rRNA from 1 species
UACAGAGGUCCCAAGCGUUGUUCGGAUUCACUGGGCGUAAAGGGUGCGUAGGCGGCGCCGUAAGUGGGGUGUGAAAUCCCGGGGCUUAACCCCGGGACUGCAUUCCAUACUGCGGUGCUUGAGGACUGGAGAGGAGACUGGAAUUUACGGUGUAGCAGUGAAAUGCGUAGAGAUCGUAAGGAAGACCAGUGGCGAAGGCGGGUCUCUGGACAGUUCCUGACACUGAGGCACGAAGGCCAGGGGAGCAAACGGG